rnacentral:rRNA from 1 species
UGAAUACGAGAUGCUACGGCAUCGAAGCAGUCUAUGUCAUACUUCCAAGAAAAGCUUGCACUGUCAUAAACAAAUAAUGCCUGUACCAUAACCGACACAGGUGGGUAGGUAGAGUAUACUAAGGGGCGCGAGAUAACUCUCUCUAAGGAACUCGGCAAAAUGACUCCGUAACUUCGGGAGAAGGAGUGCCUUAUUUUAUAAGGUUGCAAUAACAAGAUCCAAGCAACUGUUUACCAAAAACACAGGUCUCCGCUAAGUCGUAAGACGAUGUAUGGGGGCUGACGCCUGCCCAGUGCCAGAAGGUUAAAGAAGUUGGUUAGCAUUAGCGAAGCUGAUAACUGAAGCCCUGGUGAACGGCGGCCGUAACCAUAACGGUCCUAAGGUAGCGAAGUUCCUUGUCGGGUAAGUUCCGACCCGCACGAAAGGCGUAAUGAUUUGGAUACUGUCUCGGAGAGGGGCUCGGUGAAAUAGACUUGUCUGUGAAGAUGCGGACUACCUGCACCAGGACAGAAAGACCCUAUGAAGCUUUACUGUAACUUGAGAUUGAAAUUGGACUUUAUUUGCGCAGUAUAGGUGGGAGACGUUGAAAAUAUUCUUGCGGGAAUAUUGGAGUCAUCAGUGAGAUACCACUCUUAUAAUGUUAGAUUUCUAACUUUGUAUCAUUAUCUGGUCAAAGAACAGUCUCAGGCGGGCAGUUUGACUGGGGCGGUCGCCUCCCAAACGGUAACGGAGGCGCACAAAGGUUUCCUCUGAACGUGUAGAAAUCGUAUCUAGAGUGUAAAGGCAUAAGGAAGCUUGACUGUGAGACCUACAAGUCGAGCAGGGACGAAAGUCGGUCUUAGUGAUCUGACGGUGCUGAGUGGAAAGGCCGUCACUCAACGGAUAAAUGUUACUCUAGGGAUAACAGGCUGAUCUCCCCCAAGAGUUCACAUCGACGGGGAGGUUUGGCACCUCGAUGUCGGCUCAUCGCAUCCUGGGGCGGUAGUACGUCCCAAGGGUUGGGCUGUUCGCCCAUGAAAGCGGUACGCGAGCUGGGUUCAGAACGUCGUGAGACAGUUCGGUCCAUAUCCGGUGUAGGCGUUAGAAUAUUGAGAGGAGCCUUCUUUAGUACGAGAGGACCGAGAAGGACAUACCUUUGGUGUACCAGUUAUCGUGCCGACGGUAGACGCUGGGUAGCUAUGUAUGGAGAGGAUAACCGCUGAAAGCAUCUAAGUGGGAAGCCCACCUCAAGAUAAGUAUUCUC